rnacentral:lncRNA from 1 species
GGCCUAUAUAAGCAGCACCAGUUCUGGGCUCGGGGUCUCUUCGCCUCUACAAUCAAGCUCUCCCAAUAAACGUGUGCAGAAGGAUCCUGUUGCAGCGUCGUUACUGCUGGCCAGUCCGGCGCGCGCAAGAUAAAGGGCUCCUGUCUAGGAUGAGAGGAAGCAGCUGAAAGGAGAGGUGCACCCAUGUCCUCUGGGAUCAAAACCUGCCAACAUCUCUCCUCCUCAGCUUAGCCCGGAGUCAGGUGCCCUGGACUCUAAUGUGAAACCAGCCUACCUCUGAGCAUCUGAAAAGGAGACUCCUCGCCCUCCCACAGCAGGUUCCAGCCUGUGUACAACCAGGAACACAUAGCUCCC